rnacentral:rRNA from 1 species
UACGUAGGGACCAAGCGUUGUUCGGAUUUACUGGGCGUAAAGGGCGCGUAGGCGGCGUGACAAGUCACUUGUGAAAUCUCUGAGCUUAACUCAGAACGGCCAAGUGAAACUGUUGUGCUAGAGUGCAGAAGGGGCAAUCGGAAUUCUUGGUGUAGCGGUGAAAUGCGUAGAUAUCAAGAGGAACACCUGAGGUGAAGACGGGUUGCUGGGCUGACACUGACGCUGAGGCGCGACAGCGUGGGGGAGCAAACAGG